CGCGCAGGUGGCUUGGUAAGUGGCAGGUGAAAUCCCUCGGCUCAACCGAGGAACUGCCUGCCAAACUGCUGAGCUUGAGGCUGGGAGGGGAGAGCGGAAUUCCUGGUGUAGCAGUGAAAUGCGUAGAUACCAGGAGGAACACCGGUGGCGAAGGCGGCUCUCUGGACCAGUUCUGACACUCAUGCGCGAAAGCGUGGGGAGCAAACA
rnacentral:rRNA from 1 species